rnacentral:misc_RNA from 1 species
UGGUGCACUCCUUUAAACCCAGCAA